UGGGGAAUCUUGCGCAAUGGGCGAAAGCCUGACGCAGCCAUGCCGCGUGAGUGAUGAAGGCCUUAGGGUUGUAAAACUCUUUCACCGGGGACGAUAAUGACGGUACCCGGAGAAGAAGCCCCGGCUAACUUCGUGCCAGCAGCCGCGGUAAUACGAAGGGGGCUAGCGUUGCUCGGAAUUACUGGGCGUAAAGGGCGCGUAGGCGGAUCAGCAAGUUGGGGGUGAAAGCCCGGGGCUCAACCUCGGAAUUGCCUUCAAAAACUGCUGAUCUAGAGUACGGGAGAGGUGUGUGGAACUCCGAGUGUAGAGGUGAAAUUCGUAGAUAUUCGGGAGAACACCAGUGGCGAAGGCGACACACUGGCCCGUUACUGACGCUGAGGCGCGAAACGCGUGGGGAGCAAACAGAUUAGAUACCCUGGUAGUCCACGCUGUAAACGAUGAUUGCUAGUUGUCGGCAGGCAUGCCUGUCGGUGACGCAGCUAACGCAUUAAGCAAUCCGCCUGGGGNGUACGGUCGCAAGAUUAAAACUCAAAGGAAUUGACGGGGUCAUAGCUG
rnacentral:rRNA from 1 species